rnacentral:misc_RNA from 1 species
GAAAUGCGAUAAGUAAUGUGAAUUGCAGAAUUCAGUGAAUCAUCGAAUCUUUGAACGCACCUUGCGCUCCUUGGUAUUCCUUGGAGCAUGCCUGUUUGAGUAUCAUGAAAUCUUCAAAGUAAAUCUUUUGUUAACUCAAUUGGUUUCUACUUUGGUAUUGGAGGUCUUUGCAGCUUCACACCUGCUCCUCUUUGUUCAUUAGCUGGAUCUCAGUGUUAUGCUUGGUUCCACUCGGCGUGAUAAGUUAUCUAUCGCUGAGGACACUGUAAAAGGUGGCCAAGAUAAAUGCAGAUGAACCGCUUCUAAUAGUCCAUUGACUUGGACAAUACUUUUAUGAUCUGAUCUCAAGUCAGGUAGGACUACCCGCUGAACUUAAGC